rnacentral:rRNA from 1 species
GUAGGGGAGACUGGAAUUCNUGGUGUANCGGUGGAAUNCGCAGAUAUCAGGAGGAACACCGAUGGCGAAGGCAGGUCUCUGGGCAGUAACUGACGCUGAGGAGCGAAAGCAUGGGUAGCGAACAGGAUUAGAUACCCUGGUAGUCCAUGCCGUAAACGGUGGGCGCUAGGUGUGAGUCCCUUCCACGGGGUUCGUGCCGUAGCUAACGCAUUAAGCGCCCCGCCUGGGGAGUACGGCCGCAAGGCUAAAACUCAAAGGAAUUGACGGGGGCCCGCACAAGCGGCGGAGCAUGUGGAUUAAUUCGAUGCAACGCGAAGAACUUUACCUGGGCUUGACAUACACCAGACCGGGCCAGAGAUGGUCUUUCCCUUUGUGGUUGGUGUACAGGUGGUGCAUGGUUGUCGUCAGCUCGUGUCGUGAGAUGUUGGGUUAAGUCCCGCAACGAGCGCAACCCUUGUCUUAUGUUGCCAGCACGUUAUGGUGGGGACUCGUGAGAGACUGCCGGGGUUAACUCGGAGGAAGGUGGGGAUGACGUCAAAUCAUCAUGCCCCUUAUGUCCAGGGCUUCACACAUGCUACAAUGGUCGGUACAACGCGUCUGCGAGCCUGUGAGGGUGAGCUAAUCGCUGUAAAGCCGGUCGUAGUUCGGAUUGGGGUCUGCAACUCGACCCCAUGAAGUCGGAGUCGCUAGUAAUCGCAGAUCAGCAACGCUGCGGUGAAUACGUUCCCGGGCCUUGCACACANCGCCCGU